AACGAACGCUGACGGCGUGGCUAAAACAUGCAAGUCGCACGCGAAAGCGGGGCAACCCGCGAGUAGAGUGGCGGAAGGGUGAGGAAUAUAUGGGUAACGUACCUUUGGCACAGGGAUAGCUCACCGAAAGGUGAGGUAAGACCUGAUGAGACCACGGCCUCGAUGGAGGCAGCGGUCAAAGGGCGGGGAUCCUUCGGGACCUGUCGGCCAAAGAGCGGCCCAUAUCCUAUCAGCUAGUUGGUGAGGUAACGGCCCACUAAGGCUGCGACGGGUACCGGGACUGAGAGGUUGGCCCGGCACAUUGGCACUGAGACACUGGCCAGACUCCUACGGGAGGCUGCAGUAACGGAUAUUGGGCAAUGGGCGAAAGCCUGACCCAGCGACGCCGCGUGUGGGAAGAAGUUCUUCGGAAUGUAAACCACUGUCAGGGGCUACCAAGCAACCGGAUCUAACAGAUUCGGAAGUUGAGGCGCCCCAGAGGAAGCCACGGCUAACUUCGUGCCAGCAGCCG
rnacentral:rRNA from 1 species